ensembl:lncRNA
CCGAUUUUAUUAUUUAAUUUAUGGGUCAAGCCUUUGCAGUCAUUCUUAUCUCAUUCCCAAUGAUCAGUGUUUUAGUUUAAUAUGUUGCUGUCCAGCGGUUCAGAAUUUGCGAUGCACCCGACUGUCCACAUUUUUCUGUGCAAUAGUCUUUUGAUUUGAACAUCUGAAGAGUUUUGGUGUGUGCACUAGGCUAUUUGAUUUAAUUUAUAUAUGUUACAGCACUUUGGUUUCACUACUAAAUAUGUUGAAAUGGAACCAGUCUUCAGUCUUUUUUAAAUUGGAAAGAUGGGCGAUAUGGGCUACGAUAUAGGUUGGAUGUGAUAGCCUGAGUAGGCCUAUAACUCCAUUCCUAUUUUAUUCAGAGUAUAGAUAAAUUAAUAAAAUUGGAAAUAAGCUAUUAUCAGGCUUGAAAUGCGAUACGUCUAUUGAAAAAAAUCCACCCUCAUUUGGCCCCGCCCCACCUUCUCAGCCAGUCAGGAGCCGCUACUGCGUUGCGGCCGUGGCAUACUUUUUACUAAACGGUACGUGCUAAAUAGUAUGCAGUUUAAGUAUGUAGUAUACUAGUAUGGGUAUUCAGACACAGCCAGUGUAUUUGAGAAUUUUCAAAUACAUGUCAAUACUUUCCAAGUGUAUUUCCAAAUACCUUCCAAUAUUCAACUACUUGUCUUUUCAAAUAAAACAUAUCUGAAUACUUACUUUGAAAUGUAUGUGAAAUAGUAUUUGAAAUAUUAUUUGAACCCAAAACUGGAUCAAAUGGAUACCAACAUGUUUCGCAGAGAUGUACACCAUUACAAUCAAAUACAUGGAGUUUUAUUUUUUUUAAAUCACUAUUGGAAGACGCUGUAUUUAGUUGAGAAGUUGCAAUAUUGCUCCCCUGUGCCUUUGAGUAUUUAUCCACUUCAAUCAAUCAAAUGUAUUUAUAAAGCCCUUUUUACAUCAGCCGAUGUCACAAAGUGCUUGCUCCUAUCUGACCUCCGUGCCUGUUAUUGCUAAAGGAAUCGGUUUACUCAAUCUAUGAAGUAAGUCAUGAAUAACUGGUUAUACCACAUGCCAAUGAAAGCAAUGCUAGGUAUUUAAGAUCUUCUUUUUACAACUCCUCCCUACAGUCCAACCUGUUACCUUGAAUUUGUGAUUUUGCGACACAUGUAGUUCAAAUAAAGAUAUUACAUUUUACACAGCCCUGCCCUCUCCAUAGGAGUUUCGGAUUUACUCGCUGCUCAGAGGGUUAUGACUCUAAUCUAGUGGGAAAGGAGUGAGAAAGGUGACGAUGUCAUGUUUUGUGAUGUCAUCUGUAUAGUUUGAGCAGACCUCUUGGUUCUUUGCUCUUGUGUGAUUGCUGUGAUUUAUUAAAUACAGUAUAUCGUAC